ensembl:lncRNA
ACAUGGAGAGAUCACUUACAGUCAGUGAUGCAAAACUUCAUACCAUGCUUGUCUUUUUUUCCUUGAACACAUUGUUAACAGAAUAGCUAGCACUGCUUGGAAGUGAUUUAUGGAAACACUGCUGCAUCACCUCUGAUCUACCUAUGCUGCACUCAAGCAACAUAAUCUAAACUAGCUGAACAAAAGAUGGAAAUCUCACAAAAAGUAUUUAUUUGUUGACUUACCUGAAUCUGGGCAGAAGAGAUAGCGUGUGAUGGAUUGUAAGGAGUAAAAAAAUAACAUCAUUUGCCUCUUUCAAACUGAUAUGGCAAAGACAACAUAAAUGCAGCAGCAUUAAGGCAGCAAAGGAGAAAGGGAAGUGAUAACUGACCGUAGAAAGGAUAAGAAAUACAUAGACUGGAUGUACUUACAAAAAGUGGCUGUAAGCUCUGAGCUAUGAAGAGGGGAGAUGGAGUGAGAAGUAGGAGAAGACUUCAGGUAAGCUUCAGGAUAUCAGAGGGAGUAAGUUUUAUGGAAAGGCAAAUGCAAGCAGAAAUGGGAACUUCUACCAGAUUCUUAACUCGGGAGAGGUAUAAGAAGCAGAGCAGCCUCUUACAUUAAUGAGCUCUGAAUUGCAAGCACUGCCAACUUUCAGAACAGUUAAGAAAAAAGAUAAAUUUAACAAACAUUUUGCGAAGUCAAGAGAAUGAGAGCAGUGGGACAGAAAAGACUAUCUGGAAGCCAAUCACAGUUUUGAUUAAAUUCUUUGUUCUCUUUCCAAAAUGUUGUUUGUCUUAACAAAGAGUAUUUAACUGCUAAGCAUUAUCAUUAAUGUCUGUGGUCUAUAAAUACUGGAAUAAGCUUAGCAACUCCAGAUCAACAACAGAUUAGUCUGUUUUCUAACACAUUAAAAAUGCAUUAGGAAACCAGUAUUGACAAGUAACAUACCUUAUAAAACCUGAGAAAAAACAAGCAAACAACAACAAAACACUGUCUCAUAUUGAGAAUUUCAUUUUUAGGUACAGAAAACUUGUGAUUUAGAGCUGAGAACAAUGCUCUUCCCCAUUUCAUGAUUUUUGAAGCCCCCAUAAGUUUUCCUUUUCUUUCCAUCUGCAUUUUGUCUGCUGAUUUACACC